CAUUGAUAAUAACUUACAACUAUUAUCCGCCUGGGAACUACGAGCACCAGCUUAAAACCCAAAGGACUUGGCGGUGCUUUAGACCCACCUAGAGGAGCCUGUUCUAGAACCGAUAACCCCCGUUCAACCUCACCCUUCCUUGUUCUUCCCGCCUAUAUACCACCGUCGUCAGCUUACCCUGUGAAGGACUAAUAGUAAGCGAAACUGGCAAAGCCCAAAACGUCAGGUCGAGGUGUAGCGUAUGGAAGGGGAAGAAAUGGGCUACAUUCACUAAUUUAGUGUAUACGAAUGACACCCUGAAACACGUGUCUGAAGGAGGAUUUAGCAGUAAGCAGAAAAUAGAGCGUUCUACUGAAACUGGCCCUGAAGCGCGC
rnacentral:rRNA from 1 species